rnacentral:rRNA from 1 species
AUGAACGCUGGCGGCGUGCCUAAUACAUGCAAGUCGAGCGAACAGACGAGGAGCUUGCUCCUCUGACGUUAGCGGCGGACGGGUGAGUAACACGUGGAUAACCUACCUAUAAGACUAGGAUAACUUCGGGAAACCGGAGCUAAUACCGGAUAAUAUAUUGAACCGCAUGGUUCAAUAGUGAAAGACGGUUUUGCUGUCACUUAUAGAUGGAUCCGCGCCGCAUUAGCUAGUUGGUAAGGUAACGGCUUACCAAGGCGACGAUGCGUAGCCGACCUGAGAGGGUGAUCGGCCACACUGGAACUGAGACACGGUCCAGACUCCUACGGGAGGCAGCAGUAGGGAAUCUUCCGCAAUGGGCGAAAGCCUGACGGAGCAACGCCGCGUGAGUGAUGAAGGUCUUCGGAUCGUAAAACUCUGUUAUUAGGGAAGAACAAAUGUGUAAGUAACUAUGCACGUCUUGACGGUACCUAAUCAGAAAGCCACGGCUAACUACGUG